AAAAUACUCAUGAACAUCUUGGGUGGCGUAAGGAUCUUUGCAGGAUUCAGUCGCAUAUCUCGGAUCUGAGUUCUGCGCAGCACUGGACACAGACUCUGCACUUUUGACAUUUUCUAGAAAAAAGGAUUUUAAAUUUCACAUCAAGUUAAUUAAAAGUCAUCUGAUGUUUCCACUGCAGUACUUCAGGGCCUUUCAGUCAUCCUGGAGGAUGACCCACAGGAAUUUUACAGGAUGUGUUUCGAUGUGGAUGCAGACUUCAGUCAAGCAGUUGUAGACCUGCUCACAGUUCUACCAGAGGACAUGCCCUCAUUGUGGAUGCAAUAAAGGCAAUCAUGGAGGGAAGAAUUGUCAUGAAUGGGUUUUAAAGGCCUGUAUUUUAUUUUUGCUGUUCUGUUUGCAUGCCAUUCUGAAAAUGCUCUAUUGUUUAACAGUGUUCCAG